GUAGUCUCGCACAGAUGCAUAUCAAUAAGCGGAGGAAAAGAAACUAACAAGGAUUCCCCUAGUAACGGCGAGUGAAGCGGGAAGAGCUCAAAUUUGAAAUCUUAAAGGGUUUCCCUUUACGAAUUGUAGUUUAAAGAAGUGUUUUCUGCUGAGGUUUUGGUAAAAGUUCUUUGGAAUAGGACAUCAUAGAGGGUGAGAAUCCCGUAUUUGACCUUUACUUUCAACUUUGUGAUACACUUUCAAAGAGUCGGAUUGUUUGGGAAUGCAGUCCAAAAUGGGUGGUAAAUUUCAUCUAAAGCUAAAUAUUGGCGAGAGACCGAUAGCGAACAAGUACCGUGAGGGAAAGAUGAAAAGAACUUUGAAAAGAGAGUUAAACAGUACGCUGAAAUUGUCAAAAGGGAAGCGUUUGACACCAGUGUUGUUUUUCUGAAAAUCAAUUAAAGAACUGUUUAUGCUAAGUUGUUUAGACUUUAUCAGCUAACUGUUUAGUUUUGAGCUUUUCUUUAAUGCACUUUUCAGUUAACAAGUCAACAUCAAUUUCUUUUGCUGUAAAAAAGCUUGAGGAAGGUGGCUUGAGAUUCGUCUUAAGUGUUUAUAGCCUCUUGCCUAUGCAGUCGGAGAGAUUGAGGUCUGCAGCGUAGAUCCUUCGGGGCUAAAUGCAUUUGUGCUAAGUUAUAGCAUUUUAUAGACAACUUGUUGACUAUGAUUUGUCUUGUAGCUUACUCGCUUAUGUUAUUUUACCUACGCUUAGGAUGUUGAUCUGUAGUGCGUGCGC
rnacentral:rRNA from 1 species